rnacentral:rRNA from 1 species
CAUUGAUACUGAUAGACUAGAGAGUAAAUGGAGUAGGCGGAAUAUGUCAUGUAGCGGUGAAAUGCUUAGAUAUGACAUAGAACACCGAUCGCGAAGGCAGCUUGCUAAGAUACAUCUGACGCUGAUGCACGAAAGCGUGGGGAUCGAACAGGAUUAGAUACCCUGGUAGUCCACGCAGUAAACGAUGAUAACUUGUUGUCGGCGAUACACAGUCGGUGACCAAGCGAAAGCGAUAAGUUAUCCACCUGGGGAGUACGAUCGCAAGGUUGAAACUCAAAGGAAUUGACGGGGGCCCGCACAAGCGGAGGAACAUGUGGUUUAAUUCGAUGAUACGCGAGGAACCUUACCCGGGCUUGAAUUGCAACUGAAUAUAGUGGAAACAUUAUAGCCGCAAGGCAGUUGUGAAGGUGCUGCAUGGUUGUCGUCAGCUCGUGCUGUGAAGUGUCGGCUUAAGUGCCAUAACGAGCGCAACCCUUGCCAUUAGUUACUAACAGGUAAAGCUGAGGACUCUAGUGGAACUGCCAUCGUAAGAUGAGAGGAAGGUGGGGAUGACGUCAAAUCAGCACGGCCCUUACGUCCGGGGCGACACACGUGUUACAAUGGGGGGUACAAAGGGCAGCUACCUGGCGACAGGAUGCAAAUCCCCGAAACCCUUCUCAGUUCGGAUUGGAGUCUGCAACUCGACUCCAUGAAGCUGGAUUCGCUAGUAAUCGCGCAUCAGCCAUGGCGCGGUGAAUACGUUCCCGGGCCUUGUACACAC